CGGAAUUUAAUUUAAUUAGAAUACUAGCUUUGGGGGUUAAUUGUGGAGGUUUAAAUCCUCUAAUUCCGA
rnacentral:tRNA from 1 species